GGACUUAAUUGAAAUUUAUCCAAAAAGGGCAAAAUUGAAAGAAUUAAUUAAGGACCAAAUUGAAUAAUCCAGGAAUUAAGGACUGUUUUGUAAACAGUGCACCAAUUUAAGGAUUUAAUUGAAAUUUAUCCAAAAGGGGGCAAAAUUAAAAGAAAUGUUUUAAUUGCUCAGGGGUCCAAUUGCAAAAUUUCCAAUGUUCGGGGGUCAAACUGAAACUGUCCAUGGGUUACUUGAAAACGUUGCCGUUCCUGGUGGAGUCCGUUGCUGCCGUGGCUGGUGGACCAACCGUGUGAUCUUCUUAUCCCGAUUCAACCGGAGACCUGAAAAUCUGCAACAAAUUCAAUCGUGGAACGAGUCCUUUGCACACGAUCUCGUUCGUGGAGGAUACAGUCCUGCAAAGGUAGGACUGAUUAGAGGCAAUCUUGGGAAAUCUCUAUAAAUGAGAGACUAAAAACCAUAUAGAAAGGGGGGGCAGAAAAAAAAAAUAUACGAAAGAGAAACCCAGAAUUCCCAGAAAGCAAACAGAGCAAUCAAAAACAGAACCAAAAAUACACAGAACCCAGAAACAGAGAAAAACCCCAAAAAAAAAAGCGAUACAGAGAAAGGAAAAGGUGAGAGGAGAGUCACUAGAUCGGCCGAUGGUUUUCGUCCCUGCAAGAAAAGGAACAUCAGUAUACCUAGAUAAUUGAUCCCGCAAUUACUAGUCACUCUGCAGACGCCCCUGCACAAAAGCUAAAACACUCAAAACAAAACACAGCAAGCCGGCAUCAUCUUUUCAGCGUUAAACCAGAGGGAACAAUAGGAGAGGAUCAUCACCAACGUUGCAAGUAUCUCCGGUUGCCAGAAGCAGGUAUGAUUUCGUCCUUUUUUUUUUUGCAUCUUCGUUUCAAGGAAAUAAUUUAAGUGUUAUAAGAACACUGUGAAGGUAAUUUAAUUACCUUCAUCAGCGUUCGUG
rnacentral:lncRNA from 1 species